GCAAGUACAACAUAUGUUGCUUUCACAGAUCAACAGAGAUAUAAACUGCGUGCUAACUCACAGAGAAUCUAAGGUCGGUUUCAGUCAUCCUAUUCACGAUGAAGGGUGCAGCUGUCUUCGCGUUGUUGAUGCUUGUGUCCUCUAUCCAUGGAAACGCCUUUACGGACUUCUUCAAGAAUGUUGGUAACAAGCUCGGCUCGUUCUUCACCACUGUCGGCCAUUCCCUGCUACACCAGUUGGACACAACCGGAGUGGAUCUGCUCAACGCAGGCGUAUCAGCGGGCAAACAGUUGUAAUCACAGGGCCUUCAGGCUUUAGCUCUGAACACUGUAAACGCACUCCAGGAUAGAAAUAACACUAAGCGAGACUUAAG